rnacentral:rRNA from 1 species
GAUGAACGCUGGCGGCGUGCUUAACACAUGCAAGUCGAACGGAAAGGCCCAAGCUUGCUUGGGUACUCGAGUGGCGAACGGGUGAGUAACACGUGGGUGAUCUGCCCUGCACUUCGGGAUAAGCCUGGGAAACUGGGUCUAAUACCGGAUAGGACCACUUCUUGGAUGUUGUGGUGGAAAGUUUCUUCGGUGUGGGAUGAGCUCGCGGCCUAUCAGCUUGUUGGUGGGGUAAUGGCCUACCAAGGCGUCGACGGGUAGCCGGCCUGAGAGGGUGUACGGCCACAUUGGGACUGAGAUACGGCCCAGACUCCUACGGGAGGCAGCAGUGGGGAAUAUUGCACAAUGGGCGCAAGCCUGAUGCAGCGACGCCGCGUGGGGGAGGACGGCCUUCGGGUUGUAAACUCCUUUCGCUAGGGACGAAGCGUUUUGUGACGGUACCUGGAGAAGAAGCACCGGCUAACUACGUG